UACGUAGGGUGCUAGCGUUGUCCGGAAUUACUGGGCGUAAAGCGCACGUAGGCGGUCUUUUAAGUCGGUGGUGAAAUCCUGGAGCUCAACUCCAGAACUGCCUUCGAUACUGGAAGACUUGAGUCCGGGAGAGGUGAGUGGAACUGCGAGUGUAGAGGUGAAAUUCGUAGAUAUUCGCAAGAACACCAGUGGCGAAGGCGGCUCACUGGCCCGGUACUGACGCUGAGGUGCGAAAGCGUGGGGAGCGAACAGG
rnacentral:rRNA from 1 species